rnacentral:sRNA from 1 species
AUAAUUUUGAUUUCUCAAGAAGAAGACGAAGAAGAAGAAGAAGAAGAAGAGAGUAC